rnacentral:rRNA from 1 species
CAGUAGCCGCGGUAAUACAGAGGGUGCGAGCGUUAAUCGGAAUUACUGGGCGUAAAGAGCGCGUAGGCGGUUAGGAAGGUGUGAUGUGAAAGCCCUGGGCUUAACCUAGGAAGUGCAUCGCAAACCAACUAGCUGGAGUAUAAGAGAGGGUGGCGGAAUUUCCGGUGUAGCGGUGAAAUGCGUAGAGAUCGGAAGGAACGUCAAUGGCGAAGGCAGCCACCUGGCUUAAUACUGACGCUGAGGCGCGAAAGCGUGGGGAGCGAACAGGAUUAGAUACCCCUGUAGUCCCUGUCUCUUAUAC